rnacentral:rRNA from 1 species
GUUGUUAAUAAUUUAUAUUUUUUGUUAUUUUUUAUGUUUUAAUGAAAUUAUUUUUGUGUUAUUGUAUAUAUUUUUGAUUUAAUUUUUUUUAUUAUAGUUUAUUUGUACUGUAGAGGUUUAUUUUAUUAUUUAUUAAGUUGAUUUAUUUUAUUGUACCUUGUGUAUCAGGGUUUAUUGAAUUUUUUUAUUUAUUUUUUGAUUCCCGAUUUUAGAUGAGUUAAUUAAUUAUUUUAGUUGUUGUUUUAUAAACAUUAAUUAUAUUUUUUUGGUAAUGAUAUGUUAUUCGUUUUUUAUGGUAUCUGGUUUUUCGGGAAAUGAAUUUAAUUCAAGUAUUAUUUUUAAUUUUUCUUUAUUGUUAGUUUUUUUUUAUUUAGUAUUUAUGUGAUGGGGGAUUAGCUCUUUUAUAUAUUUUUAUAAUAUUCUUUUUACUUUAUUUUUGUGGGUUUUAUGUUAACUAUCAGUUUAAUUAUGUUGAAAUUUUAAUUUUUGAUUGUUGUAUUUUUGUUGUUUUUAAGUUUUUUAUUGAAAUGUUUAAAUUAAUCUUUUAUUUAUUUUAAUUAUUGUUUAAUUAGUAUAUUAUUAAUUAUUUUGUUUAUUUUUUUUUUGUUAAGUUUUUUAUAGGAACUAGGCAAUAUAUUUCACUCGCCUGUUUAUCAAAAACAUCUCUUCUUGAAUAUAUUUUGAUGUAUGGCCUGCCCACUGAAUAUUGAAUGGCCGCGGUAUUUUGACCGUGCAAAGGUAGCAUAAUCAUUAGUCUUUUAAUUGUAGGCUGGAAUGAAUGGUUUGACGAGGUGUUAACUGUCUUUAAUUUUUUUUAUUGAAUUUAAAUUUUAGGUUAAAAUGCCUAAAUGGGUUUUUGGGACGAGAAGACCCUAUAGAGUUUUAUAGAUUUUUAUUUUUUUGUAUGAGAUUUUUUAAUAUAAAAAUUUAUUUUGUUGGGGUGAUGGAAAGAUUAAAUUAACUCUUUUUGUUUUUAUAUAUUUAUUUAUAUGUGUUUGAUCCAUUUUUAUUGAUUAUAAGACUAAAUUACCUUAGGGAUAACAGCGUAAUUCUUUUUGAGAGUUCAUAUUGACAAAAGAUUUUGCGACCUCGAUGUUGGAUUAAGAUAAAUUUUUGGUGUAGGUGCUAUAAUAUAUUAGGUCUGUUCGACCUUUAAAAUCUUACAUGAUCUGAGUUCAAACCGGUGUGAGCCAGGUUGGUUUCUAUCUAUAAUAAUUUAUAACAUUUUAGUACGAAAGGACCAUAUGUUUUAAAUAAUUUUAUUUUUCUGAUUAUUAAUAAUU